rnacentral:rRNA from 1 species
UCGUGGAGUGAUUUGUCUACUUAAUUGUGUUAACGAACGAGAUCAUAACUUAUUAAUUAGUUAAAGUAUAUACUCUUUUGUGUAUGCUUAACCUUUUCUAGGUUUUAUUAACUUCUUAAAAGGACAUUUAAUAUUUAAAUUAAAGGAAGUUUAUGGCAAUAACA